rnacentral:tRNA from 1 species
GGGUCGAUGUCCCGAGUGGCAAAGGGGACGGACUGUAAAUCCGUUGGCAGUAGCCUUCGCAGGUUCGAGUCCUGCUCGGCCCA